GACGAACGCUGGCGGCGUGCCUAAUACAUGCAAGUUGAGCGCUGAAGGUUGGUACUUGUACCAACUGGAUGAGCAGCGAACGGGUGAGUAACGCGUGGGGAAUCUGCCUUUGAGCGGGGGACAACAUUUGGAAACGAAUGCUAAUACCGCAUAAAAACUUUAAACACAAGUUUUAAGUUUGAAAGAUGCAAUUGCAUCACUCAAAGAUGAUCCCGCGUUGUAUUAGCUAAUUGGUGAGGUAAAGGCUCACCAAGGCGAUGAUACAUAGCCGACCUGAGAGGGUGAUCGGCCACAUUGGGACUGAGACACGGCCCAAACUCCUACGGGAGGCAGCAGUAGGGAAUCUUCGGCAAUGGACGAAGGUCUGACCGAGCAACGCCGCGUGAGUGAAGAAGGUUUUCGGAUCGUAAAACUCUGUUGGUAGAGAAGAACGUUGGUGAGAGUGGAAAGCUCAUCAAGUGACGGUAACUACCCAGAAAGGGACGGCUAACUACGUG
rnacentral:rRNA from 1 species